AAAAAUUUAGUUAAAAUCAUAACAUUAGUUUGUCAAACUAAAAUAAUUAAUUAUAUUAAUAAUUUUUG
rnacentral:tRNA from 1 species